rnacentral:rRNA from 1 species
UCAGGACGAACGCUGGCGGCGUGCCUAAUACAUGCAAGUCGAACGGUCUUUCUAUGGAAGCUUGCUUCCACUGAGAAGAUAGUGGCGAACGGGUGAGUAACACGUGGGUAACCUGCCCAUAAGAGGGGGGAUAACAUCCGGAAACGGGUGCUAAUACCGCAUAGUUUUCUUGAUCGCAUGAUCGGGAAAGGAAAGACGGCCUUUGUGCUGUCGCUUAUGGAUGGACCCGCGGCGUAUUAGUUAGUUGGUGAGGUAACGGCUCACCAAGACGAUGAUACGUAGCCGACCUGAGAGGGUGAUCGGCCACAUUGGGACUGAGACACGGCCCAAACUCCUACGGGAGGCAGCAGUAGGGAAUCUUCCGCAAUGGACGAAAGUCUGACGGAGCAACGCCGCGUGAGUGAAGAAAGGUUUUCGGAUCGUAAAACUCUGUUGUCAGAGAAGAACAAGUUGGAGAGUAACUGCUCCAGCCUUGACGGUAUCUGACCAGAAAGCCACGGCUAACUACGUGCCAGCAGCCGC